GGCUCGCGUCCUUCCGGUCUUCCCGACCUCUCUCGCUCCUUUGGAAGGAGCAACGGUGCCCCUGCUGGACCGUAGGUCACACAGUUUUGCCAUGAUUGGAACCAAGGAAGCCUCCAAGCUUCUGAACUCUGUUCUGCACAGCUUUUGAGUCCCAACCUUUUGUGGCCUCCAGUGUGAUAGAUCACAACAUGUCUUGGUAUUGAGCACAUCUGAAUUGAACUCCCUGCAACCUAAACAACAUAUCAUUUUGGUAGCUAAAUGACCAACAAUUAGAACAGCAACACAUAAUCGCAAAUGAGAUAUAAUCAACAUUACUUCAGAUUCUCCUUAUUCAUAGCAUUCCUUUUCUUAUUCUUUUCAAAACAUGUCUAUUCCAAAACUAAUGAAGUUAUUGUUCAGAUCUCAAACUUUUGUGGCACUUGUGCAAAACACAGCAUAAAUUACAACUCAACACAUGCAUGAUCGGCCUGUUAAGUAAUUGACAUGUGAAGAGAGUGAAUACUUUAUAUGCCUUUCGAUCUUGAUCAUCCAGAGUUACUCGCAAGCAUGAAUGAGGCAGAGAAAGAACGAACAGAGGGUGAGGACUAGAAAUCAAAACAUGGAGUUCCUUCAUUUGGUUGCAAGGAAAGGAAGGCAGAGUUGAAGAAGAAGAAGAAGAAGAAGAAGAAGACCAUGAGGACCAUCUCCCCAUCACCAAGUACUAAUGGUGUCAAAAGGUAUCAGAUCGGGUGCUAAAUCUUGCGUUGCAGAAGAACAGGAAUGGCACCAUGGCCCUAUGUGUCUCCCUAAAGCUUUGACUGAUGACAUGGAGCUUCAUGUUCUUCCAUUAUCUAGGAUUUGAAUUAAGAAUGUGAUCCUACUUUAUUUCCCCUCCUUUUUCCCUAAACCCACAACAUUUUGUCCCCCCCUCCCUCAUCAAAUCUUCCACAGUGUUCUGCCGACAAUACUCUCAUCAUCGGGAGUCUUCCAUCCAUUGAUGGCAACUCUCACUUUUGUGUUUCCAUUGAUCAGCUCCUGAAGCCUCAUGAACCUGUGUUUGAUGAUGAAAGAAUCAUCCAUGUUCAACUGAACAUAAGCCAAAAUACUAAACGAUUGUGCUGAUGGAAGUAGGCAAAAUCAUUUCCAUUUCA